GGGCUAUUAGCUCAGUUGGAUAGAGCGUUGGCCUCCGGAGCCAAAGGCCACAGGUUCGAAUCCUGUAUAGCCCGCCU
rnacentral:tRNA from 1 species